UGGGGAAUAUUGCACAAUGGGCGAAAGCCUGAUGCAGCAACGCCGCGUGAGGGACGACGGCCUUCGGGUUGUAAACCUCUUUUAGCAAGGAAGAAGCGAAAGUGACAGUACUUGCAGAAAAAGCGCCGGCUAACUACGUGCCAGCAGCCGCGGUAAUACGUAGGGCGCAAGCGUUAUCCGGAAUUAUUGGGCGUAAAGAGCUCGUAGGCGGUUUGUCGCGUCUGCUGUGAAAACCCGAGGCUCAACCUCGGGCCUGCAGUGGGUACGGGCAGACUAGAGUGCGGUAGGGGAGAUUGGAACUCCUGGUGUAGCGGUGGAAUGCGCAGAUAUCAGGAAGAACACCGAUGGCGAAGGCAGAUCUCUGGGCCGUAACUGACGCUGAGGAGCGAAAGGGUGGGGAGCAAACAGGCUUAGAUGACCCUGGUAGUCCACCCCGUAAACGUUGGGACUAGUUGUGGGUCCAUUCCACGGAUUCCGUGACGCAGCUAACGCAUUAAGUUCCCCGCCUGGGGAGUACGGCCGCAAGGCU
rnacentral:rRNA from 1 species